rnacentral:tRNA from 1 species
GGAGGUAUAGCUCAGUGGUAGAGCACGUGCUUAGCAUGCCCAAGGUCCUGAGUUCAAUCUCCAGUACCUCCA